CUUUAUGGUGGCUGUGCGCGGGAUACCUUCGGGUAUGCCGGGUUUCCAAAUGGCUCGGUCUGCGACCCCGCGUACAGCUGCCUCCUUC
rnacentral:antisense_RNA from 1 species